UCAUUGCUGAGGAGUCUCACAAUAGAACGAAACGGCCGUCCAAUGC
rfam:Schistosoma rodhaini strain Burundi genome assembly, scaffold: SROB_scaffold0003079